ensembl:lncRNA
UCACACUUACAAAUGGGCAAGUUUUUAUGCUGUAGUCUACCACAAUGAGAACAUAUUUCCCUAUGGCUUCCCACCAUGGAGGGAUAAUACAAACUAGCGACUGUUUCCUAGAGAAACUUCUUAGAGAAGAAACUUUAUCCCCUGAACCGAAGGCUGAGUUCUACAAACAGCGCAAGAGAGCCCGGCCACCGCCCAACAGAAGGGAUGGACUGGUUUCCUUCUUGUUCUUCUAUGAAACGAAACGGGUUGGGACAUCAGAACAGGUACUUUUCCCGUUUUUUCUGAAAAAUCCAGGAAAAGGCGUGAGGUUGUUCGCGGUGCAAGGUUGUGUACUCGGUUGAUAUGAAUCAGGUGCUGUGAGAAACGGCUUUCCGGUGGGUCUUACGCAGGUCAGGGUCCUGGGUUCCCACAAGCGCUACCCCUGGGAAGCCCUGUGACCUAGUGUGGACCCGGUAUCCCAAACCCCUCCUCUACAAAACGCUUCAAGUUUCCCUUCCAAGUCUACAGUUCUGCAGCAAAAGUCUAUGAAAUUAGUACCAGAAAGAAAUAGAAAUGGUUACAUAUUUGAGCCUGAGCACCAUUUUAUAGAUUAAUGGGUUCAUGAUGUUAGCAAAAGAUAUGUGUGGUGGAUCCAGUCGCUGCCGCUCAAAAGCCUGUAAACAGGCCAGGUUGAUGGAAAGAAAAGUUUGCUUUAUUUCAGAUGCUGGCAACUGUUGGUGGGGAGAGGGUCAAAGACAUCUGUCCAAAGGCCAACUCCCCCUGCCUUACAAGCAGGGGGUGAGAGCUUUUAUAGACAGAGUGGGAGGAGGUUUCAUACAGUCAUCUUUAAUUGGUCAUCAGUGGUCUGACUUUAAUUGGUCAUCAGUGGUCUGACUAGCAUCAUCUUGGUUGUUUUAGGUAGAGUUAGAACAAAGUUAGUGGAGGUGAUGGAAUUCCAGUUGAUCUUUUUCAAAUCAUAAAAGACGAUGCUGUGAAAGUGCUGUACUCAAUAUGUCAGCAAGUUUGGAAAACUCAACAGUGGCCACAAGACUGGAAAAGGUCAGUUUUCAUUCCAAUCCCAGAGAGAGGUAAUGCCAAAGAAUGUUCAAACUACCACACAAUUGCACGCAUCUCACACCCUAGCAAAGUAAUGCUCAAAAUUCUCCAAGCCAGACUUCAACAGUACAUGAACCAUGAACUUCCAAAUGUUCAAGCUGGAUUUAGAAAAGGUAGAGGAACCAAAGAUCAAAUUGCCAACAUUCACUGAGUCAUCAAAAAAGUGAGAGAGUUUCAUAAAAACAUCUACUUAUGCUUUAUUGACAUGCCAAAGCCUUUUACUGUGUGGAUCACAAUAAGCUGUGGAAAAUUCUUCAAGAGGUGGGACCUCUUACCUGACCAGAUCACCUUACCUGCCUCCUGAGAAACCUGUAUGCAGGUCGAGAAGCAACAGUUAGAACUGGGCAUGGAACAACAGACUGGUUCCAAAUUGGGAAAGAAGUAUGUCAAGGCUAUAUAUUGUCACCCUGCUUAUUAAACUUAUAUGCAGAGUACAUCAUGAGAAAUGCUGGGCUGGAUGAAGCACCAACUGGAAUCAAGAUUGCUGGGAGAAAUAUCAAUCACCUCAGAUAUGCAGAUGACACCACACUUGUGGCAGAAAGCAAAGAACUAAAGAGCCUCUUGAUGAAAAUGAAAGAGGAGAGUGAAAAAGUUCACUUAAAAUGAAACAUUCAGAAAACUGAGAUCAUGGCACCUGGUCCCAGCAUUUCAUGGCAAAUAGAUGGGGAAACAAUGGAAACAGUGAGAGACUUUAUUUUCUUGGGCUCCAAAAUCACUGCAGAUGGUGACUGCAGCCAUGAAAUUAAAAGAUACUUGCUCCUUGGAAGGAAAGUUAUGACCAACCUAGACAGCAUAUGAAAAAGCAGAGACAUUUCUUUGCCAACAAAGUUCUGUCUAGUCAAAGCUUUGAUUUUUCCAGUAGUCAUGUAUGGAUGGGAGAGUUGGACUAUAAAUAAAGCUGAUCGCUGAAGAAUUGAUGCUUUGGAA